rnacentral:tRNA from 1 species
GAGGGUAUAGCUCAGUGGUAGAGUAUGUGCUUAGCAUGCAUGAGGCCUUGAGUUCAAUCCUCAGUACCUCCA